rnacentral:lncRNA from 1 species
CUUUUAAAAUAUAACUGACAUAUAACGAUCGAUCGUAAUGGUGCUAUGUGGAUAAAUUUAUCAGUUUUCAAGAGCAAAAUUGGCAGAGCGUCAUCCCUACAAUGGCUUCCAUUUCUACGAUUGUGAGCAUGAACUGGCGUAAUGGGGAGAUAAUUUUGAAGAAGUAGAAUCCUGACUGUAUGAAUAACAUUUCUGUAUACAUUGUAUAUACAAAUUGACAACGUUCCGCCUUGUGAUACGCUUUUCGUACAAUACUAUUUUAAGGAUCUACUUUGCUGGAGCUCACCUUCACUAGUUUAUUCGAAUGAUAUUUUCAAAAUAUUUCUGUUAUUUUAUUUGCACGACAAAAUGAAAGACGAUAUAAUAUCAAU